rnacentral:rRNA from 1 species
GACGAACGCUGGCGGCGUGCUUAACACAUGCAAGUCGAACGGAAAGGCCCUGCUUUUGUGGGGUGCUCGAGUGGCGAACGGGUGAGUAACACGUGAGUAACCUGCCCUUGACUUUGGGAUAACUUCAGGAAACUGGGGCUAAUACCGGAUAGGAGCUCCUGCUGCAUUGUGGGGGUUGGAAAGUUUCGGCGGUUGGGGAUGGACUCGCGGCUUAUCAGCUUGUUGGUGGGGUAGUGGCUUACCAAGGCUUUGACGGGUAGCCGGCCUGAGAGGGUGACCGGGCACAUUGGGACUGAGAGACGGCCCAGACUCCUACGGGAGGCAGCAGUGGGGAAUAUUGCACAAUGGGCGGAAGCCUGAUGCAGCAACGCCGCGUGCGGGAUGACGGCCUUCGGGUUGUAAACCGCUUUCGCCUGUGACGAAGCGUGAGUGACGGUAAUGAGUAAAGAAGCACCGGCUAACUACGUG